rnacentral:rRNA from 1 species
CCCUUAGAUGCUCUGGGCCGCACGCGCGCUACACUGGUCGAUGCAACGAGUUUCUUUCCUUGGCCGACAGACCUGGGCAAUCUUUGAACAUCGAUCGUGAUCGGGAUAGAUUCUUGUAAUUUUUGAUCUUAAACGAGGAAUUCCUAGUAAACGCAAGUCAUCAGCUUGCAUUGAUUACGUCCCUGCCCUUUGUACACACCGCCCGUCGCACCUACCGAUUGAAUGGUCCGGUGAAAUCUCCGGACUGGCGUGAGUCGGAGCAAUCUGACAAACACCGGAAAGUUGAUUAAACCUUACCAUUUAGAGGAAGGUGAAGUCGUAACA